ensembl:lncRNA
CGGCGGUACGCGGAGCAGGGUCUUGCGCGGCGGCGGUACGCGGAGCAGGGUCUUGCGCGGCGGCGGUACGCGGAGCAGGGUCUUGCGCGGCGGCGGUACGCGGAGCAGGGUCUUGCGCGGCGGUGCGCGGAGCAGGGUCUUGCACGGGUCUUGCGCGGCGAUGAAUAAAGCCACUCUCUUUUAUAUGUGGCAGAGUCUGUCACCCAUCUCUCCUUGGACUCUCUGUUGUAUGUGGGGGGGUCUGUCACCCAUCCCUCCUUGGAAUCUCUGUUGUAUGUAGGAGGGUCUGUCACCCAUCCCUCCUUGGACUCUGUUGGAUGUGAGUCUGUCACCCACCUCUUAUCCGACUGUUUUAUUUGUCAUAGUCUGUCACCCAUCCCUCCUUGGACUCUCUGUUGUAUGUGGGAGGGUCUGUCACCCAUCCCUCCUUGGAAUCUCUGUUGUAUGUAGGAGGGUCUGUCACCCAUCCCUCCUUGGACUCUGUUGGAUGUGAGUCUGUCACCCACCUCUUAUCCGACUGUUUUAUUUGUCAUAGUCUGUCACCCACCACUCCUUGGACUCUGUUUUAUGUGGCAGAGUCUGUUACCCAAGUCUCCUUGCACUCUCUGAUGUAUGUCACAGUCUGUCACUCACCUCUCCUUGGACUCUCUGUUGUAUGUCAGUCUUUCACCCACCUCUCCUUGGACUCUGUUGUAUGUCAGUCAUUCACCCACCUCUCCUUGGACUCUGUUGUACAUGUCACAGUCUGUCACCCACCUCUCCUUGGACUCUCUGUUGUCUGAGGCGGCAGGCCAAAUAAGAGCACACAUACCACGAAGGGUUUUAUGUCACAAUGAAUUUCAGUGUUGUAUCCUCUAUGUUGUUUUAUAUUGAUGAAUAAAGCCACUCUCUUUUGUAUGUGGCAGAGUCUGUCACCCACCUCUCCUUGGUCUCUCUGUUGUAUGUGAGUCUGUCACCCACCUCUCCUUUGCUGUGGUGAAUCUGGAACCAUCAGUGUCCAAUAAUCUUACUCUGAACCCAAGGGACUCUCUCAUAGGUCUGGGCUGGGUUUGGCCCUGGAAUGAUCUGGACCACAGGUGUGAGGUACCCCUUCAUUGGACAAGGUGUAUCAGUGAUUCAGGACUCCUAAAUUGUAAGAAACAAAGAUGGAAUCUCGCACAACACAAAGUUAGAAUCUAAACUACAGCAGAGAGUAUUGUAUUAGCUAACUCCAUUGAACCCCAAUCUUGUUUCAGUUGUUACUUAAUCAAACAUAUACGUCUUCCUCUCUCCCUUUUUUACUAGUUUUAACUUUGCCUUGCUCUGCAGACCCCUCAUAAAGCUCAUUUCUGUCUCUUCCAUCAAUGUUUCACAACAAUCUGGGAUUCGCUCCCCAAGCCACUACUCAUCAUUACUCAGCAUUUUCUCUAAGUCAAGGAUUGUUUGAUCUGCCACAAAGAUUUCAGUGUUGUAUCCUCCAUGUUGUUGGAUAUUGAUGAAUGAAGCCACUUGGUUACCAGUGGAACUGUAAAGUCUUGCGUUAUAAAUCUUCCAGGCUGUAAACAAUAAACUCAUUGUACUCUAGGCCGUGGAUCUUGGUCUUGCUGGGCGGCGGUACGCGGAGCAGGGUCUUGCUGGGCGGCGCUACGCGGAGCAGGGUCUUGCUGGGAGGCGGUACACGGAGCAGGGUCUUGCGCGGCGGCGCUACGCGGAGCAGGGUCUUGCGCGGCGGCGCUACGCGGAGCAGGGGCGGAGCAGGGUCUUGCGGGGCGGCGGUACGCGGAGCAGGGUCUUGCGGGGCGGCGGUACGCGGAGCAGGGUCUUGCGCGGCGGCGGUACGCGGAGCAGGGUUUUGCGCGGCGGCGCUACGCGGAGCAGGGUCUUGCGCGGCGGCGCUACGCGGAGCAGGGGCGGAGCAGGGUCUUGCGCGGCGGCGGUACGCGGAGCAGGGUCUUGCGGGGCGGCGGUACGCGGAGCAGGGUCUUUAGGGGCGGCGGUACGCGGAGCAGGGUCUUGCGCGGCGGCGGUACGCGGAGCAGGGUCUUGCGCGGCGGCGGUACGCGGAGCAGGGGCGGAGCAGGGUCUUGCGGGGCGGCGGUACACGGAGCAGGGGCGGAGCAGGGUCUUGCGGGGCGGUACGCGGAGCAGGGUCUUGCGCGGCGGCGGUACGCGGAGCAGGGUCUUGCGCGGCGGCGGUACGCGGAGCAGGGUCUUGCGCGGCGGCGGUACGCGGAGCAGGGGCUGGCUGUGGAGCAAUAAGAAGGGCGAUGGCAGGGACUGGGGCGGAGGGUUUUAUGUUACAAUUAAUUUCAGUGCUGCAUCCUCCAUGUAGUUAUAUAUUGAUGAAUAAAGCCACUCUCUUUUAUAUGUGGCAAAGUCUGUCACCCACCACUCCUUGUACUCUCUUUUGUAUGUGAGUCUGUCACCCACCUCCCCUAAGACUCUCUGAAGUAUUUCACAGUCUGUCACUUACCUCUCCUUGGACUCUCUGAUGUAUGUGGGAGGGUCUGUCACCCACCUCUCCUUGGACUCUCUGUUUUAUGUGUAUCAGUGAUUCAGGACUCCUAAAUUGUGAGAAACAAAGAUGGAAUCUCGCACAACACAAAGUUAGAAUCCAAACGACAGCAGAGAGUAUUGAAUUAGCUAACUCCAUUGAACCCCAAUCUUGUUUCAGUUGUUACUUAAUCAAACAUUAACUUUGCCUUGCUCUGCAGACCCCUCAUUAAGCUCAUUUCUGUUUCUUCCAUCAAUGUUUCACAACAAUCUGGGAUUCGCUCACCAAGCCACUACUCAUCAUUACUCAGCAUAUUCCCUAAGUCAAGGAUUCUUUGAUCUAUGAGCUCACUCAUUUUCCCAAGAGAGUCAAGGACAAGCCACAGGUCCUUCUGUCCUUAAUAUGAGAUAACAAACACUCAUUGAACUGACCAUGGGUAGUGGAGCCAGAGCAAGAGUGUAGUUCAUCGGUCUCUUAACAAUUAAAUGUGGAAAAAUCAAAGACAAACAGACUGUUUGGGAUAAUAAUAUGAGCCCUGGUUUAAUGUUUCAUCAAUUAACUCUCAAUGAAUAUACAAGUGAUCACAUGAGAUGUUUCGUCUACUCAUCAGGUUAAUGUGAAAUAACAUUUCAUGAAAAUAUCCCUACAUCACAGAGUUAACAGUUUCAUCAUCUGUUUCAAUCUAAUCUUUUUUUGUCCUUUGACUUCUUUUCGAGGGGUUUUCUCUAUAUGUAAUUUUGGUUUCCGGUGAAACAAUCCACGCUGGCCUUACGUUUUUUAUUCAAAAUGUCGGCCGAAGCCGUGCCUAGCACAUGGGGUGUAUCCUUUACAUCGGAGACCAGCGCGUGACUGUUGUUCUCAGUAGACGAGGUUUUGUCCUCGGUGCUCAGCAACUGGAUAGGCUAGAACGUGUUUGUUUCUACCUUUAAUGUGCUCUAGGUUCAGCGCUAACAACAACGAACAUGAAGGGUUUUGCUCUAUAAUGUCAGCGUCCCGGAUUCCCAUACUACUGAUUGUCUUGUAGAUGUUUCAAAUAGUCCCUCUUGCACUGUGGUCUACGGUUUAUGGGUUGAGGCAGUCGCUCACCUCUCGAAGCCUCGCAUGAUGUAACGUCGAUGUGGCUGGUGUAAGGGCUUUUAUAAGACAGACUUGGAAUUAGAUAAUUUACCAUUGGUUGGAUAAGAGAACGUUGAACAGUAAACUCAACACUGGUUGGAUGUCCAACCACGGCUCAUAUACCCACACACGGCUCAUCUACCCACACACGGCUCAUCUACCCACACACGGCUCAUCUACCCACACAUGGCUCAUCUACCCACACACGGCUCAUCUAUCCACACACGGCUCAUCAAUCCAAACACGGCUCAUUUAUCCACCCACAGCUCAAUCUUUCCGGUUGUCGGGAUAACAAGUGUUUGUUCCAAUAGCAAGCCAUUUUAAAAUGUAUUCGCUAGACUUGACUAUAUGAAAUUAACAUGACAGAUAUUAACACCGUAAUACUGACUAGACGUAAUUACAUUGUGACUAGUCUAAAUUUUGAUUCAAGAUAUACGUAACGUUCUUCUGACUAGUCAAAACACAGUUAAAGAUGUCUGUAAUUUUAUUUUGACUAGUCAAAACUGAAUUACAAAUAUCAGAAGUGACCUCACUGAAAACGACACUCGACUUUCAUACAUCCCAAAUGGUAAUUGCAGAAUUUUGUUUGGACUAGUCAAAAUUAUAGUUGUAGAUAUCUCAAAUGUCCUUAUGACUAUUUCGAAUUGUUUUGCAUGACGUUUCUCAUGCGAGGCAUCAGAUCAUAUUGGCCCAGCAACGCUUUUCGGUGUUAGCAGCAAUGGCAGUUUCAGUUGUGGAUAGUAAAAAAAAUUUUUUUUUUAUCGACUUUUGAAAGAAAGUAAAUCUCCUGUAUUUCCUGCUAAAAGCGCCUGUCGUGCACUGGCUGCAACCAUAAAUAUUUUAUCAAAAACUAGAACUUCGGCUUCACGCAGGUCUGACAUGGCGGUUAAUGCUUGCCAUACGGUGGAAGAGUAGUUACAUAUGUUUGAAUACAAGCAAGCCACUUACUCCCGCUCCUGACUCCUACAUGUAACUACAGAUAUCUGUAAUUACAUUUUGACUUGGCAGAAUGAAAGUAAAAUAUAUCUCCAAUUUGAAAAAUAUUCAAAGAUAUCUAUAACUUGAUAAUAGAUUUCUACAAUUACAUUAUGACUGGCUGUAAUUCCAGUUUCAGAUAUCUUCAAUUUAAUUAAUACUAGUUAGAAUUCCAGUUCAAGAUAUUUACAACUGAUUUAUGACUAAUUACAACAUUAUUUAAGAUAUUGCAAAAUAAUGAUCUAUAUAUCUUAAAUUUAGGGGGAUUUAAGAUAUCUUGAACUGGAAUCGUGACUGGUCAGAAUUAAAUUAUAGAUAUCUGGAACUGUAAUUACUAUAGUCAUAAUUGGUUUGAAUAUAUCAACAAUAGACAUUUCGGAUAUCUGCAACUUCAUUUAAAGAUAUCUGUAAUGAGAAACCUCAUAGACAUGAAUGGCAAUAGUAAUUUAAAACUGACUAGUCAAAACAGAAUUACAGAUAUCUUCAAUUGUCGUUUUGACUAGUCAUAAUGACGUUAUAGAUAUCUUGCAGUUCUGACUUGGCGAAAUUAUGUUGCAUUCAUGUGUAAGAAAUAUCCAGUCUAGCGAAUACAUGUUAAAACGGCUUGCUAUAUGUUCCGAUCGUGGACCUGCUGCUGUCGUAAUAGACGAGGUUGUUUUUCAGAGUCCUGCGUAACCACUGGAAUAUGUUUGAGACCAGCCUUGUCCACACUCGCCAUAGACUCAAAGUCGUCUCCACCUUCAAUGUCCAAUUAGUCCAUCAGCGCAAGCAACAACGAACGCGAAGGCUCCUGAUAGUCUUUUAGAUGUUUUUCCGCUUUUCUCUCUUUCAGAUAGUCCCUCUUGUUUGCACAACAAGUUGACGACGUUAUCAAACAGUCCUUGUUCGCUUUCACAGCUAUAAACAUUUGGAAUCAGAGGUCACAUACCACGGAGGGUUUUCUGUCACGAUGAAUGUCGGUGUUUUAUCCCCCAUCUUGCUUUAUAUCGAUUAAUAAAGCCACUCGGUUUCCAGUGGAACUAUAAAGUAGGCUAUUGCGUUAUAAUUCAACCAGUCUUUACACAACACUAAACGCACUGUAGUAUACGGUGUAAGGGUUGAGCCAGCUACGCACCUCUCGAUGCCUCGCAGGCAGUAAUGUAACGGUUUUUACACGCCAGACUUGGGAUUAGAUCACUUACCCAGCUCGGUCACUGACAGAAGGACAAGAUUCUAGAUCUGAGAGUCUAGAGGGGGCGGAGCCACAACAUUUCACAACUACGGCUGUUUGAUCCAACCCAUGUUAGCAAAUUGGGUAACUGUCGAAACACGGAAUGUUGUGUGGAAAGGAUCUCAAGGAUGAGUGGUCGAUUGUGUUGUAGGAGACUCCUGCUUAAAUAAGGAAUCUAAAAGACUUGUUGCACUUAUUACAUCAGGGGUUCUCAAACUUUUUUGGACCAGGGACCCCUUACAGGGGACAACAUUUUUCAAGGACCCCCUAAUGAUUUUAAUACCGAUUAAGCAUGUGCUUACUAAAAUGUUUAGUCUUAGAUGCCAUUGGAAAUAUUUGAAUUCUAAAAGCUCUGAACAAAUCAUAAAAUAAGUUAUCAACAGUGUUACAGAACACAUCAUAGUAAUUAAACCUAUUACUUUAGAAGAGUUUGUACAUUAGGGCUAUACGUCACAUUCUUAUCUCACACAGUUCACAGUAACUCACUUAAUGAUUUCAUUCUUAAUGAGAUGGCUCUGCCAUUCUCUCACCACACAGUUCAUCCACUCUUGGAGGGAUGGAUGACUGGCAGACUCAGAUUGUUCUCCACAUGCAAACGAGCUCUGUGCUUAGUCUACAUUGCAGUCAAAGUUGAGAAUGCUGACUCACAGAGGUAUGGAAAGAGAAGGGAAAAUACUAGUUUUUGGAUAAAAUGAAUGGGCCAACAUUGUACAUUGACGCAAUACUCACUCAAAGGGUUUUACUUCCCAAUUUGUCACCAAAUGCCCAGUAUUACUGGCUUCCCGUACAGACCUCCUGCCAAACUGCAAUUCACAGAAAAUGCUCUAGGGGCUCCCCGAGCUCCACCGCUCUGCAGUCAGCGGUUUUCCAGUCAGGCAGCAAGUCCUGGGCAGGUGACUGUGCUUUACACAGCAAAUGUUCAGUUUUACCACAAAUGUAUACACCCAAUGGCACCUUCGGUCCAAACCCAACAGAGUCAGAAUUUUGAUGUUUGCUAGUCAAAUGUACAUGUUUUACUGCCCAAUUGCACGACCAAUGGGAUUAUCCAUAAUACACUUCCAUCCAAACUCCACAGAGUCCAAAUUUGGAGGUUUGCUGGGCAAAUGUACAUGUUUUACUGCCCAAUUGUACCCCAAAUGGGAUAACCCAUAAUACACUUCGGUCCAUAAUCCCCUCAGUCCAUAUUUUUAUGUUUAUUGGGCAAAUGCACUUUAUUCUUCCAAAUUGUACGAUGGGGUACCUCACAUGCUCAUGUAGCACAGGAAAAACUGCAUAUUUCUGUCUGAAGUAAUAAAGGUGUGAUACAUUAUUUAGCCUUAUUCUUACCUCAUAUAAGGAUGAUGAGUACAUGCAGGUAUAGAAGAGACAGAGACAAUCAAAGACAUCUUGAUACACGGGAUGGGUACAGGGAUGGGUUGCAAUAUGUCACACAGGUAUAAAUCAUUUAGCUAAGUUAAAUAUCAAACUAAACUAAGCAAACCGUAUCAAUUCUUAGAACUAUACAGAGUAUUAAGAACAACCUUUGGUUCCUCUGCUUUAUAAUCUGGAUUUGAAUAUGUAGAUGACAGUACUGCAGACACAGCCACACACAGACAUACACAGACACACACAGACACACGCAUACACACGCAUACACACGCAUACACACAGAGUUAGUCAGGCCCUAAAUAAGGGUAUCAGUUCAAAGGGAGAGGUUGCAGGAGGUUUCACAUCACAUGGUUAUUCCCAAUUCGUGUCCAUACAUUGAGCUAGUGGUGCGCCACAAAGUCCUUACAGGACUCUGCAACAGUUUACCUAUUCUCCUGGUCCCUAAUAUAAAAGCUACUGCAAUACCAAAAAUAACACUCAACUAAUAAUGAAAUGGUGGAACUGAAUAUCAGAAAGAAAUAGGGACAGGGGCGGCAGCAGGCCGAAUCAGAGGUCACAUACUAUGGAGGGUUUUCUGUCACGAUUAAUUUAGGUGUUUUAUCCGUGUUAAUGUAUGUUGGUGAAUAAAGCCACAUGGUUUCCAAUAGAACUAUAUAGUCUGGCGUUAUAAAAAAAACAGUUUAUACUUGACGUAUCUUGACGUUAGCCUUACUUCUUAUGAUAACGCUAAGGCUAGAUUGUGACCUAAAGCACGGGAUUACCGGUAGCAAGCCUAAUUGAUUAAAAUGAAAAAUAAUCUACAAAAUUAACACUAUUUACAGUGCGCGAAACAGCCAAAUCGUUAAUACAUACAACAACCUAAUAAUAAAUAUACAUAAAACAAUAAGUGUUCAUUAACCAUAUUGUGGCAUUCUCACCCGAGCUCCUUGCGCCAUCUUUUCUUUUUCAGCAUCAACACCCACCGAGCAGCCGAGAUAAACGUCCUCACGUUUUGUGCGAAGUCUCUUCUAUAACGAUCCAUAUUUGGAAGAGUCAACCUCCGUCACGGGCGUGUGCGGCAGCAGCUGGACCCUUCUCGGAAACUCGCCUCCACCCAUUAGCUCUGAUUUUAUCUCAAAUCUAGACCUCAGAAAUACUGUAAAUUAACCAAAUAUUCCUCUAUCCUAAGACCCAUUUUUCUCCAUCUGCCCCCAUCCUGCAAUAGGUUUACGUUUACCUCAGCACCUCAUACUUCCUUUACCAGAGCACAACCGACAUUAUUUGUCUUAUCUAAACACGGGGACUCAAUACAUUAAUCAUUAAGAAUGCAUCAGUUCAAUAUAUUUCCAUAAAAACACAGCUAAUGUAUACAUUUCAAGAUAGCAAAUAUUACACCCUUAAAUUCGGAUGCUGUCCUUUUAUCAGAGAUCCUAUUCAAUGACAUUUACCUGAUGACAGAUCAACAGUCUAUCUUGGUGUGGCACUAAUCAAUGAUUAAACUGUUGGUUUGUGACCACGUUCUCUCCCUCCCUGCCUGUUCGUUCAUGUUUAUCACUUCCCUGCCAUGAUCAUACAUAUCACAAACCAAUAUUGAACAAACUUUAGCUAUAUCUAGAUGAUUCAAAACACCUAAACUGAAGGGGGAAAAUGCCAAGCUGUUGUAUUGAGAUUGUUACCAUGAACCUUUGGGCUACUUACACUACAUUCUUGACUGGCGGUGGCUCGUCCAUUACUUAGCUAGAUACUUGCAGACCAUAUAUGGUGAAGACUAAAACAGAGAUUGUGCAUAUCAUUUUAGCAGGCGUUCUUCCUUUCAAAUCAUUCACUAACAAUUUUUCACACAGCCAUAUGAACUACUCAGUGUUAUCUAGCAAGCAAGCUACUAGUACUGUACCGUUUGUUGGAUUAAACUUGAAAAUAAAGAUAGCUAGCUGACUACGUCUUAACUAUUUUAUAGCCAGAAGAAAGCUUAUAUUUUAUCACAUUCGCUCGUUCGUUCUAUAGCUAUGAACAUUUAUUGACGUUUAUACAUGUUGUACUUACUGUGAAAAUCAAACUUACAGCUACAGUAAUCCACUAAACCAGCCUAUACACAUUG